AUACGGAGGAUCCGAGCGUUAUCCGGAUUUAUUGGGUUUAAAGGGAGCGUAGGCGGACGCUUAAGUCAGUUGUGAAAGUUUGCGGCUCAACCGUAAAAUUGCAGUUGAUACUGGGUGUCUUGAGUACAGUAGAGGUGGGCGGAAUUCGUGGUGUAGCGGUGAAAUGCUUGGAUAUCACGAAGAACUCCGAUUGCGAAGGCAGCUCACUGGACUGCAACUGACACUGAUGCUCGAAAGUGUGGGUAUCAAACAGGAUUAGAUAUCCUGGUAGUCCACACAGUAAACGAUGAAUACUCGCUGUUUGCGAUAUACAGUAAGCGGCCAAGCGAAAGCAUUAAGUAUUCCACCUGGGGAGUACGCCGGCAACGGUGAAACUCAAAUGAAUUGACGGGG
rnacentral:rRNA from 1 species